AUUGAACGCUGGCGGCAUGCCUUACACAUGCAAGUCGAACGGUAGAGUAGCAAUACUUGAGAGUGGCGAACGGGUGAGUAAUAUAUCGGAACGUGCCCAGUCGUGGGGGAUAACGUAGAGAAAUUUACGCUAAUACCGCAUACGAUCUAAGGAUGAAAGCGGGGGAUUCGCAAGAACCUCGCGCGAUUGGAGCGGCUGAUAUCAGAUUAGGUUGUUGGUGAGGUAAAAGCUCACCAAGCCGACGAUCUGUAGCUGGUCUGAGAGGACGACCAGCCACACUGGGACUGAGACACGGCCCAGACUCCUACGGGAGGCAGCAGUGGGGAAUUUUGGACAAUGGGCGCAAGCCUGAUCCAGCAAUGCCGCGUGCAGGAUGAAGGCCUUCGGGUUGUAAACUGCUUUGUACGGAACGAAACGGUGAGCUCUAAUACAGUUUGCUAAUGACGGUACCGUAAGAAUAAGCACCGGUUAACUACGUG
rnacentral:rRNA from 1 species